UAUUGGCUGGAAUGAUGAACCAAUUAGAUGUAUGAGGUCACUUUGCGAGCUAAAACAUUUUGAGGCAUGUAUUCUGUCUUACCCAGCCAAUC